AAAAAAACUAAACUAUAUAUAAAAAAAUUAUAGGUAUAUAUAUAUAUAUAUAUCUAAAUAUAUAUAUAUAUAUAUAUAUAUAUGAUGCGUAUUCAUAUAUAUAUAUAUAUAUAUAUAUAUAUAUAUAUAUAUAUAUGAUGUGUAGUUGCUGUCCCGGCAGAGAUCAAGACAUUUUAAACUUACUUUUUCACUCAGUGACCUAAAAUAUCAUGUCCCAUUAAUUUGGGUACAGAAUUACCCUUUAAAAUAAAUGGUUGUCCUUUUUCUUCUACCGCCAGGAUUUCGACAACUCCUUCCACAUCAACCAACUAUUCACGCACCUCCUAUAGCAGAAAGGUCAACCUACUAAUAAUAAUAACAGGCUGCUGAGGUAAUAUACUCCUCUAAAUUAACUCUACCUAUGAAUAAUAAUAAAGGCUGCCGGGGUUAUAUAGGUCUACACUCAAGUUAGUUUUUUUCUGAUAUGGCGUCAACAACUGCAUUUCAUCGGCAGCUCUUGGAUAGUGCUUGUGCUGCGGCUCAAACCCUUGUUGCACAUCGCAGCUUCAUUACGGCUCAUUAAGUUCAUGCUGUACGCAUGGCGCUCCAUGGCUCGUCUAGUGUGCGACCGGCUAUCACCGGUUCAAUGUGUUUACAGACUUUCUUCGCCAUUUCUCAAUCUUUCUUUCAGUUGGAAAUGUUUUCCUUUUGCAUUCCAUCUGAACAGUUUUUCUUUUCACUUAGAGAGGCUUUCGAAGAAGGUGUGUGUUUGUGUGUGUGUGAAGGGCCCUGGAAAGUGAGAGGGCGAUGAUAGGGGAAAAUUGGAGAGAGAGAGCGAGAGAGAGAGAACCCUUAGAUUAAAGCCCAAAGCCAUUGAUUUAGCACAAGGUAAAUAUGUUUCAUAUUUGUGGUAUGUCGUCUGGAGGCCAUACAAGAGAGAAGAGAGAGGAGAAGAUGAAAAAAAUUUACUGAUAAGAGGAAAGAGGAUGAUGGACACCACAUACACUACCUGUGUGUUUGUGUGUAUGUGCAUGCAUGUGCGUUGUGUGUUUGAGUAGAGAGGCGGAUACCUGCCACAUGUGCGUGGGGGUGACACGGGGGAUGUCUCUGUAAACACACAAACCCUUUGAAGUUUAACCCCCACCCCGGUCCAACCCACACACACACUCACACACACACUUCUGCUGCCUCGGGGCCCUCUGGCCCGGUAUGUUGGGCUUAGGGCCACUUGACAGUGUGUUGUUUCAAGAACCUAAUCCUGCUGGAGUGUUGGCAGCUGAGAAGAUGAGUGUGUGUGUGUGUGUGUGUGUGUGUGUGUGUGUGUGUGUGUGUGUGUGUGUGUGUGUGUGUGUGUGUGUGUGUGUGUGUGUGUGUGUGUGUGUGUGUGUGUGUGUGUGUGUGUGCGUGUGUGCGUGUGUCUGUCUGUCUGUCUGUGUGUGUGUGUGUGUGUGUGUGUGUGUGUGUGUGUGUGUGUGUCUGUGCGUGUGUGUGUGUGUGUGUGUGUGAUGGGAGAGCCAGGGCUUUCAAAGACAAAUGAACGAGGACAUGUUUCAUCUGAAGAAUAUGUUGUCGACAGGACAAAUUGCUCAUCUUUCCACAAGAUGAGUAAAAGACCAAAACAAGUUUGAUUCGUCUGCAAAACAUCAGUCAGUAACCCCAUGCCAACUCUCUCUCUUUCUCUCUUGCACGCCUCUUUCCUUUUUCCCAUCCGUCUGUCAAUCUGUCGGCACCCUCGCUCUCGGUACAAAGAAACACCGGAACUCCUCAAACACACACAAGUGUGUGUGUUAAGUUUUUGUCAUUGCUUUGCCCCGGCUGCUGCAACAAAACGAGGAUUCCCUGUCUUAUGGAUGUGCUAAUCCUAAUGUAAAGAGACAUUGGUCCAGCAGAUGGUGUCCUCAACAUUUAGCCUCAUGUCCGUCACCAUCAGAACGUCAACAGGAAUCUUAUGGAAUGGAAGAUGGAGCCUGUCGUUUGGCAAUUCAUGAGGGUUUAAUAUGGCAAUCAGCCCUUAGGGGAACACAAGGACUUCAUUUAUUUGUACGGGGACAACCGAGGUUCAGAAUAUGGCUCACAUGUGAGUCGGAAAUGGAGAUAUACUUAUGGCCCUCCAUCGCUGUACACUGAAUAAAAUCUUAAGCAUCCUCCAUCACCUCCUGGUGAACUGGGCCGGGAAUCAAACCAUCAUCCUCCUGUGUCAUUUCCACCAGCAGGCUGCCCUGUUCAGCUCAGUGACGGGAUGCCAGAGGGGCCGACAGCAGCCUGGGUCCAAUUAUUGCAGAUAUGUGAUGUGAAUUAAGACCAGAGUAAUGGAUCCCUGAAUUAAGACCAGAGUAAUGGAUCCCUGAAUGAGUAUAUCAUUGUGCUGCGGCCCAGCUGAAUAAACGCUUCAAAUAUG